rnacentral:lncRNA from 1 species
CUGACAGAAGUGAUCACAACAGCAACUCUGCCCCUGUUUCAGAGGUAUGAAGUCAGGGACAGGGCCUCAGCUUUGUACCACAAAUAAAGCUCCUGCUUUUUAGGUAAACCUGAUGGACUUGGGAACUUUCCUGAACCUACUCAAAUCAUAACCGGUGUGAUGCAGCACUGUGGAGCCUUGUAUCUGUCUCUGUGGGGGAAAAUCUGAGGCUGGAAAAUCUCAAAUAUAUUUGGGGAGAAGGAGCAGUG